rnacentral:tRNA from 1 species
CGGGAUGUCGUCUAGUUUGGACUAAGGCACCUGUUUUGGGUACAGGAUAUCGGGGGUUCAAAUCCCUCCAUCCCGAC